rnacentral:rRNA from 1 species
GACGUAGGGCGCGAGCGUUGUCCGGAUUUAUUGGGCGUAAAGAGCUCGUAGGCGGCUUGUCGCGUCGACCGUGAAAACUCGCAGCUCAACUGCGAGCCUGCGGUCGAUACGGGCAGGCUAGAGUUCGGUAGGGGAGACUGGAAUUCCUGGUGUAGCGGUGAAAUGCGCAGAUAUCAGGAGGAACACCGAUGGCGAAGGCAGGACUCUGGGCCGAUACUGACGCUGAGGAGCGAAAGCGUGGGGAGCGAACAGG